GAUUAUCUUUCUAUUUAAUUAUAGAUCGUUUAGAUCCGUGUUGUUUUUUUAGCUAAACUUUGAUUUUACAUGUUAGUUAAGGUGGGAAAUGUUUUAG
rnacentral:rRNA from 1 species